rnacentral:rRNA from 1 species
UUGUGGCCCCAAGUCAGGCGAGGCCCACCCGC